UACGUAGGGUGCGAGCGUUAAUCGGAAUGACUGGGCGUAAAGGGUGUGUAGGCGGUCUGUUAAGUCUGAUGUGAAAUCCCCGGGCUCAACCUGGGAACUGCGUUGGAAACUGGCAAACUAGAGUACGUAAGAGGGGGGUGGAAUUCCACGUGUAGCAGUGAAAUGCGUAGAGAUGUGGAGGAACACCGAUGGCAAAGGCAGCCCCCUGGGACGAUACUGACGCUGAGGCACGAAAGCGUGGGGAGCAAACAGG
rnacentral:rRNA from 1 species